AAAAAGAACAGUCGUGUCCUAAGACGUGCCAGGACCCUUCCGCGCAUGUGCUGGGAAAAGGCAGGAGGAAUCAGGCAAACACACAAGCCAACUUUAAUCAGGAUGUGCUGUCAAGCCAAUUCUGACUUACCGCCGACCCUUUCCAGGAUUUUCCAGGUAGAGAAUACUCAGACGUGGUUGACCCUUCCUUUCUUCUGGGGGCCCCCUGGAACGACAGCUUGCCCAAGGCCACACAGGGUGGCUCUACUCGCAGAAGGCACAGUGGGGAAUCGAACACCCAACUUCUGGCUCCUCAGCCAGAGACCUAAACCACUGAACUAUCCAGCUGCCUGUCCAGGAUUUCACCCUUCAUCUCAUCUGAGUAGCAAUCGUAUACACAUACAGAGAUAAAUCCUGUUGAGCUCAACGGGGCUUACUUUUGAAGAGGCGUAUCUAGGAUUGGCCUAUGAUACUCCUAGUAGAACAUGUUGAGGUGAAGCCAAUGCAGUCGCUGCCGCCUUUUGGGGAUCGAAUGAUCUUUUUGGCGCCGCUGAAUUCUUCUUCCGUCUGUUCCCGACGCCCGGUGGGUGAUCAGGCGAUUUUUUUUUUAAAGACCAGGGUUGCUGUAUUUUUAACGGUUGCUUAGUAUAGGAAGUUUCAGCAAGUGCAGCUUUUAAUGCGAAGACUACCUGCUGAAUUUUUCCUCCGUCGCACAGGUUUUAAUAGUCCAGGAACCUUAUCGCUUUUUUUAAAUCUGGCCACGGAACGCACGUGGGAACAGAGAAUGCGUGUAUAGUUGGCCCCGUGUCUCAUCACCACAGCGACCGAACACGAGGAGGUGGAAAAUGUGUAACUGCCACCAGAAAUACACCCCAAUAGGUUCACGCUGUGAAGGGGUAAAAACGACAGUGAUAAUAAGAAAAACACUUUCGAAACCAGCAAAGGUAAAAGUGGAGAAUGAAAGAACAGCAACAGCCGAAGUGAAAGCCAACCUCUCCGCCUACGAGAACGAGCCACGCAGAUCUAAGCUGCAGUUCCCACUCCACGGGCAGAUAAAACCAGAGCCCCACAGCCUUUUCUUGCUUAUUUUUGAUGCAGUGCGAGAAGAAUCUGUGCAGCAAAGCAAGGGCCAUGUCGUUGCAGAAGGAAUGCCAAGAGGAGAGCCAAACAGUGGUGAACAGAAUCAAGAACACUCUUAACAGAAUCAAGCAUUGUUGCAUUUUAUUUAAAAACACAAUGGAGUGAAAAAUCAAGAAAGAAGGAGGCAAUAUUUGAAAUAUGGCAGGCUGGGGUGGGGAGAAUUUUUCCCGUAGCAGCUGAUUUUGUGUGUUCUGCUUUUGUAGUGAUUUCCCCCUCCCUUGUGCCCCUCAAAAGACUGGUGCUGUGGCAGCAAACCCCAUUGAAUGCAGUGGGACUUACUUCUGAGCAGACAGGCUACUAAUGUCUACUCAGAAAGGCAAUUAAUGUGUUCAGAAGACUGAAGCUUUGUCCCAGUUUCUAUCUUGCCAGAAUAAACAGGAAGAGCAUGACUGAAAGGGCA
rnacentral:lncRNA from 1 species